rnacentral:rRNA from 1 species
GACGAACGCUGGCGGCGUGCUUAACACAUGCAAGUCGAACGCUGAAGCUCAGCUUGCUGGGUGGAUUAGUGGCGAACGGGUGAGUAACACGUGAGUAACCUGCCCUCUUCUUUGUGAUAACGCCCGGAAACGGGUGCUAAUACUGGAUAUUCACUGAUUCUCUCAUGGGGGUUGGUGGAAAGGUUUUUUCUGGUGGGGGAUGGGCUCGCGGCCUAUCAGCUUGUUGGUGGGGUGAUGGCCUACCAAGGCUUUGACGGGUAGCCGGCCUGAGAGGGUGACCGGUCACAUUGAGAGUGAACAUUGGCACAGACUUAGACGAGAGGCAGCAGUGGGGAAUAUUGCACAAGGAGCGAAAGCCUGAGGCAGCGACGCCGCGUGAGAGAUGGAGGUCUUCGGGUUGUAAACCUCUUUCGCUCAUGGGCAAGCCGCAGCUUUAGGUUGUGGUGAGGGUAGUGGGUAAAGAAGCGCCGGCUAACUACGUG